AUGACGGGGGGCCCUGCUUUCUGUGCAGACUCCCUGGCUGGGCCCCUCCCCGUCUGGCCACAGCUGGUCCCCAGCUCUGCGGCUGCGGUCCUGAGACCCACUCUCCAGACCGCGGAGGCCGCGGGAAGCCCGACAGGUGCGUCUCCACCUGCUGCGGAAGCAGGGACAGCCCCAGGCCCUGGCGCCCGCUCCAGCGGGAGGCAUCUUCCCGCCCUGGCACGCGCUCCAGGCCUAAAAAUAGACCUGUCCAUCUGGACAGCGUGUGGUGGCCGGGGAGGGGGCCGCUGGUGGCUUUGCGGGAAUUACCAGGCUGGCCAUCAGGACCCUCGGCCCCAGGCCGCCUCUGAGCAAGAGGCUGGUGGAUUAGGGCCACCGGCCCGCUCGUUAGUGAAGCAGACGUCUUGGACGUGGCCCUGCCACACGGCUCCCCAGCAUCCUUGGUGCCCACUGAGGGGGCUCCCCCGGAAGUCUUCCAGGAAACAUGUGGUCUUUACUCUUUUCGGAUCCCACGGGCUUCUCUUGACUCCUCAGAGGCCUUGGGCUCUGGAUGGGGCCGGGGUCUCCCAGGUCAUCUCUGGGGGAGCAGGUCACCCCACAUGCAGGACGGUGAGGGACACAGGAGCCAGGCGGGCGGCGGUCUGGCUACCGCAGCGCCAUGGACAGGCCCUGCUGUGUGUCAGGCUGAGGAGAGGAGGCCAGAGACCCCGGGGCCAAGAGGAGGGGUCUCUAGGUGGGGGUGGGGCGGGGGCAGGAACUGGAGGCCCAGGGCCAGGGGAUCCGAGUGGCCUGGUUUUCCCUAAGGUUGCGGGGAGCCUGGUGUCGUCAGGAGGGAGGUCAGGGGUGAGGACGGGUAGGGUGCCUAUUGGAGAAAGGGGUGGGGCCCGCCCAGGGGCAGAGGGGACGGAGGUCGGCCACCAGCGUAAGGGUGGGCGUCCAGGAGGCCCGCCUGUCCCCAGGGCCCUGGGGAAGGAGAGCCGUCUCCACAGCUCGCUGUGGGGGCAGCCACCCUGCGUGGCCACAGGGCCUGGGAACACGUGGGCGGCGGGCGGGUGGCCGACAGAAGCAAAGGGCCACGCUGACGGAUGUUGCUCUGCGGAAAUGCCGCAGGGAGGAGCGGCGGACUCACACACCCUGGAGACCACGGGGGGCCGCUGGACGCGUGCUCCCUCUGGAUGGCGGGCAGCAGCUGGGGUCCUGGGCCUCCUGCCCACGUCCUUUCUGGGCCUGGGGCGUCCCAGACGCGGCCCUGCUGGAGGCAGGCCCCGGCUGCUUCGCCUUGGAUCUGCGGUCUGUGACGGACGCGGCUAA
rnacentral:lncRNA from 1 species